AGGAGUUCGAGGCUGCAAUGAGCUAUGAUUGCACCACUGCACUCUAGCCUGGGCAAUAGAGUGAGACCUUCUCCAGAAAAAUUUUUAAUAAAUAAAAUAGAUUAACGGGUCCCUUCUGUUGCAAUGAAGGAACUGGAGGUCUUUUCUACCUGCCCCUAACUCUUUCCCAAGGCGGCUUGCUCCAUUUUCACGUGUUCUCUCGAGUACAUUGAGCACCUCCUUGUGCCAGGAACUGUUUGUGGCACCGCAGAGCCAGAGACAGGAGCUCACGGCAGAGCUGGGGAGAGAGUUAUAACAGCCAGCAGAGGGCACUGUGAGCGUGGACAUGCAGCCUGCAUGCCCCAAAGCCCAAGAGGAAAGUGGAGGUCUGGGAGCAGAGCAUUGGCAGCCUGGGCAGCCGGCCCCCGCUGUCGAGGCUGGUCGUGGUGAAAAAGGCAAAGGCCGACCUGGACUGCAGCAAUGGGCAGCCUCAGGCAGCCCCCGCCCCAGGAGCCCCGCAGACCAGGAAGGAGGCCGACCCUGCACCCCUGACGCCUGGCGCAUCCUCCCUGAGCCAGCUGGGUGCGUACCUGGACAGUGACGACAGCAACGGCAGCAACUGAGCCCUCCUAGGACCCCUGCCCUGGGUCAGGGUCACACGUCCAGCUUCAGCCACGUUGAGGCCGGCGUUGCUGGUGGUCGGGGCAGGAGGCCUUGGCGUAACCGGAGACCCUACAGACAAGUGCCAGUGUGCUCCAAGCACAUAGGGCCAACAGGGACCUCAGCCCCAGGAGGUCGCUUCUCUCUGCCCUCACCAGCCUCUCAACACCUCGGGGACACCUGCUGCUCCUGCCUCCACCUGUCACCAUGCUUAGGGCUGCAACAUCCCUAGAGCGUCUCAGCUUCCAACACUACUUCAGGGUGGCGGUGUCUGGGGCACUGGGCGAGCCCACUGGCCUCUAGAUGGCCUCAUCUCUUCCUUCCACAAACUGUCUAGAACCAAUAAAAGGAAAUCUGCCAACC